UUCAUUAUAUAUUUUAAAUAUUGUGUAGAAUGAUUUUGAGCUUAUGAACCCAAUAUACAAUCGAGACGACGAGAACGAAUGAAAAAGACAUGAACCAUAUACGCCGCGUAACCGCCGACAAUCCUCGCUCGAUCGCGCACCACCGGUAGCGUGAAUGCCCGAACUAGUCCAAUUAAAAUCUCAAAAAAUCAAAAUUAAACCUGCAUCCAAUACUUGCUCAGAUACUCUCUUCUUCCCAUCUCCGUCUCUCUCGACCGCCUCAAUAUUUUCCUUCUCCCCACAGUUGUUAAUGCGAAACCUACCCUCUGUUUCUCGUAUUCAAAUACUAUAGUAAUCCCCUCGCUGGAACCCUACCGGACCGGUGGUUGCCGGUUGGAUUCUGGCUAGCAUUCCAGGAUUUUUGUUGGGGUUUUGGAUUUCUUGAUUCGAUUCGGUGCGCUGCCUGUUUGGGAGUACAACGGUGUUUGAGGAUUUUGUGUUUUUUUGGGGUUGCGUGUCUUUGCGUGAUCAGUGCCUAUGGCUCCGGGCCGUAAAAGAGGAGCGAACAAGGCUAAGGGCAAUAGAAAGUUAAGUUUGGGCGAUCUCGUUCUCGCCAAGGUCAAGGGACACCCCUUCUGGCCGGCUAAGAUAAGCCGGCCUGAAGACUGGGAUAAAUCUGCUGACCCGAAGAAAUAUUUUGUUCAAUUUUUUGGAACUGAAGAAAUUGCUUUUGUUGGCCCUGCCGAUAUUGAGGCAUUCACGAAUGAGGCAAAGAGUAAAUUGAUUUCACGGUGUCAAGGUAAACCCAAGCUAUUUUCCCAAGCAGUGAAGGAGAUAUGUGCAGCAUUUGAAGAGUUGCAUAAAGAAAAACCGAGCGCUUUGAGAGGCGAUACUGAUAGGUCUGCUCCUGGUUGCGAGUUUCCUUCUGUUGAUAGGAUAGAAGAUGAUGGUAUAGAAGUUGAGUUAAAAGAUGAAGCAGGUCCAGUGAAACAUGGAGGAUUAAGUGAUGUUGGAACUAAGUUGGAGCACAACUCUUACCGACAAGUUGAACCUGAGAGUGAAGACGAAAAGCCAACUGUUUCAUGCCCAGCAAAUGACAGUGCAUCUCCGAUUACAUCUUCUGGAAAUGAAGCUAAUGUAUCUGAUUAUGCACAAGCAGAGGAAGCAUUGUCCAUGUCUAGUGGGGCCAGUCCUUCCAAAGUAAAGGAUGAUUCGGCUGGUGAUCUUAUUGAUGUUAAAAGUAUUCAGCAGCCUGAUAAUGGGCGACAGGCAGUGGCAAAUGGUCACAAGUCAAAGAAGUUGGUAGGUUUUUCCAGAAGGGGAAAAAGUAGUAGCUCGAAGGAAGCUUCAUUGAAAGCUAAUAGUUCUGGUGUUCGUACUGAUGUUCUGGAUUCAGAUGAGCUGUUGAAAGAUGGAAUAAGCGGCAAAAUUUCCUCUGUUGGGCGCAUGAAGGAUUGUUCCCCGGAUGCUGUCAAAUCAAAUUCUGAUAUCACUGGCAAUAAGAAAGCGAUAGACCUAGCGAAGGCCAGAAAAAGUUCCAAGGUAUCACAUGAAAUACAGAAAAAUGUUGGUUUAAAGAGUGAGCUCUUGGAAAAGAAAAAGAGAGCUCAAUCUGGACUUGGAAAACCAGUGCAGGGAGAUAAUGAGGUUCUCCAUCCAACCAAAAGGGCUAAGCGGAUUGAUGGGUGUGAUGCUGCCAUGAAGGGUUCUCACCAGAAAACCGUGAAGAGAGAUUCAGCAAGUUCUAAGCCUGCUGGAAUGCAAGAAUCAGAGUUGACAAGAUCUACAUCAAGAAUUAAAUCAGAAGAUCCAGCGCAAAAAGUUAAUGCUGGAUCUGAUGAUUCUGGCGAUGAAACCGUACUUCCACUGACAAAGCGUCGAAGACGUGCCUCUGAGGCCAUGUCUGAUUCUGCCACUCUUAAAUCUGAAGAUCCAGUAGACAAAAGUUCUCUGGAGCUGAAGAAUUCCAGUAGCAAUAAAAUUCUGCUUACUCAACCUCCUAGAAGGAGGAGAGCAGUACGAAUUGAGGAAGAUGAUGAUGAUAACCCCAAAACUCCAGUUCAUGGGGGAUUGGGCGGAAAUUUUAAAGCACCUACAUCUGUUUGUGAAACUUCAAGACCUGCUGAAACACAAUAUGCUAGUUCCCUUAAUGCUGAGCAGAGUGCGAAGGAUCCCACAUGUCUUAGGCACAUUGCUUCAAAGGAAUCAUCCUUGCAAUUUACCAAUGAGUCUCUGUUACUGGACCGAUUAGAGAGACCUGAUACUCGUGCUUUUCUUAGUCCGGUAAAAUCAGAACCAGAGCAUUCAUCAUCCAAGGAGGUCAAAUCAAUUUUGAUUUCUCCGAAGGAAAAAUCAGUCCUUAUUUCCCCUAAGAAGUCUCCUCACUUGUUCCCUGGUUCCAAACCAAUUGUUCAGCAGCAUAAAACUAUUAAAGCUCAGGUUAAAGUUGCUGGUACUGGCAGUCAGAAAAAGGCCUCGGCUGUGUCUAAUAAUAGUUUGGGAGUGAUUUCUCAUCCUGUGAAUGCUAGCCAAAACGAGGUAGCAAGUCAAAGAAGUAGGCAAACUUCUUCUGGAGAAAGACCAAGAACCUUCCCAAAAACAAUAUCACGGUUGACUGAGCCUACUGUUGUAACUGAAACCUCAACUGGAUAUCAUUCAUCUUCUGAAAUAUUUGAAGCCGGUCGUGAAGAUAAAAUUAGUUUAUUGAUCGACUCGAAGACGGCCGACACUGUUACUUCUAUGAAGAAUCUUAUAGCUGCCGCUCAGGCCAAAAGGAAACAAGCUCACUCGCAACAAUUCUCUCUUGCAAAUCCUUCUUCUUUUGCCCCUUCCACUGAUACCCAAGGACAUAGCCCCAGCCCCUCUAAACUUCAGCCUUAUUUCUCUGGCACCAGUUUACAGGCUGAGUUACAGGUAUCUCAAACUAUUUUUACUUCACCAUCAACUCAUGGCCAUCAGUCAGCAUCACGAAAUGAACCUGAUAACGAGGAAGUGGAGGAGAGGAGAGUUAGUUCAGGAUAUAGGUCUGCUGGAGGUUCACUGAGUGGUGGUACUGAGGCAGCUGUAGCCCGUGACUCUUUCGAAGGAAUGAUAGAAACUUUGUCAAGAACUAAAGAAAGUAUUGGAAGAGCAACUCGUCAUGCAAUUGAUUGUGCCAAAUAUGGUAUUGCAAAUGAGGUUGUGGAACUUCUCAUCCGGAAGUUGGAGAGUGAGCCUAGUUCUCAUCGUAAAGUUGACCUCUUCUUUCUCGUGGACUCGAUCACCCAGUGUUCCCAUAAGGAUAAAGGUAUUGCUGGAGUUUCUUACGUCCCUACGAUUGAAGCAGCUCUGCCCCGCCUUCUGGGUGCUGCUGUUCCUCCUGGAUCUGGUGCUCGUGAAAAUCGCCGUCAGUGUAUGAAGGUUUUGCGUUUGUGGCUUGAGAGAAAAAUCCUUCCUGAAUCCGUACUGAAGCGCUAUAUGGAUGAUUUUGGGGUUUCAAAUGAAGAAACAGGUUCUGGGUUUUCAUUUAAACGACCAUCUAAAGCUGAACGUGCUGUGGAUGAUCCCAUUAGAGAAAUGGAGGGCAUGCUUGUUGAUGAGUAUGGCAGUAAUGCUACAUUUCAAUUGCCUGGCGGCUUUUUGUCUUCUCGUGUAUUUGAAGAUGAUGAAGACGAUUUCCCAAGCAAUUUCCCCAGGGAAGCAGGUGAUUUAUCACCAGAUGAACCACCUUCUGUGAUUGGAGAAUCAGAAACUCUUGUUGUUACUCCAAAUGACAAGCGGCAUUGCAUCUUAGAGGACGUGGAUGGUGAGCUAGAAAUGGAGGAUGUUUCUGGACACUCAAAGGAUGAUGGACCUUUGUUUGCAAGCUGUGUUUCCGAAUUGGGUUCACAGCGUAUGGGGUCGGAUAGGAUAGUGGAGUCAGCUUCAAAUAAUUCCCCCUUACCAGAGGGUUCACCACCAUUACCGCCGGACUCUCCUCCUCUGCCCCCACCUUUGCCUCCUUCCCCACCUCUCCCACCCCCAACUCUUCCACCGCCUCCACCCCCAUCAUCUCCAUCACCCCCACCACCACCUCCCCCCACUCUUCCAUCACAGCCACCCCCUCCAGCAGCACCUUCAGGUCGUCCACCACCACCAUCAGGGCCUCCAUUUUCGGUUAUACCUCAGCCAUCAGUACCAACUCAGCCUGCAUUGCUGGCCCAACCAUUGUUACACCCUCCAGCACCGCUUCGGUCUUCACCGCAGCUGGCAUAUCAAGCACCUGUACCUCAUGAGUUUUGUUCUUCUGGAGGUAACCAAAUUGGCCCAGUUUCUGGAAAUAGUUCACAUGGUGUUCAUGUUGAUUCUGUUACAAAAACUGACGUGUUCCCACAGCAAUCACCUUACUUUGUGCCAACAGGGGUUUGCAGUUCUCAAGAACUUUCCGGAUUUAAUUCUUCAAGGCGAAUGGAUUAUGGACAUAAUGACAUGUAUUUAAACCCUCAAGCUUCUCAACCAAGUCCACAGUUUCAACCAAGUACUACAUCUUUUGUGCAAAGAGCUUUGCAUCCAAGCAUUCCUCAAGUUUCAUCCAACCAUUUCUCUUAUCCAAAUCCUGCAAAUCAGCAGCAUCCUCAGCAUUCUUAUCCCCCUCCAUAUCAUUUACCAUCUCAUCCUGAUGGGCAUAGGCGAUUUGUCCCUACUGAUGAACAACGGAGGAUGGUAUCUAGUGAAUUUAGUGCAGAUAAUUCACGAGGGAUGUGGAUGGGUGGAAGGAGAACUCCAUCUAAUUCGGGGCCCUCAUAUGUCCAUGAAGGUUACUUUCGACCACCCCUGGAAAGGCCAUCUGCAAAUAACAUGAGCUUUCAGCAUCCUGUGCCUAACAACUUACAAGCUGGUGCUCCAAACCCAGGGCAUGGUGUUUCGCAGAUUUUGCCAUGUGGACCGGACAUGCCUGCCCUUAAUUGUUGGAGACCAACGUAAGAAUGUCCCUGAAGCCUAUUCACAACUCAUUUCUGUGGUCACUGCGAAAGGCUAUGGAUAUGCAUUAUAAUAUCUCCUCCUCAGAUGGUCCUUGUCAUGGACAAAUUCUAUCAGCCACUUGAAGCAAUGCUAGAGAACUUGUGGACACUCUUGGCAGGACUCUGUAUAUUGUAAUUUUUCCUGACAAUGUAUCCACCGAACGUUGGCUUUGAAGUAUAGGUCCAUUUUUCUGACUUGUUUAUGGAGUAUCAAAUUGCUGAUGUUACUAGGUGUUAUUUCCAGCUAAGAAGUGGAUGUUAGCUUACUGCAUUGUCCAAUACUUGACAACAUUGAUGGAGUUCAGAUCACUCUAGUCGAAUUCAAUCAACUUUAACAUUUGGAUGCUUCUCCUAGAAUUGCACUGUAGUCUGAUACUGGGUUACGCAAAUGGAGUUAUGGAGGAAAUGUGGUUAGCUAUUCUCUUUCUUUCACCUUAUAUUAGUUUCUAUGAGUACCUUGGAGUUUCAGAUUGCUCUUGAUUGGCUUAACUUUUUUGAAGUUACUUGAAUGCUGAUAAUUAGAUUACAUAUAGAAGC